rnacentral:rRNA from 1 species
ACGGAAGGCAGCAGUGGGGAAUAUUGGACAAUGGGGGAAACCCUGAUCCAGCGACGCCGCGUGAGUGAAGAAGUGUUUCGGUAUGUAAAGCUCUAUCAGCAAGGAAGAAAAUGACGGUACUUACUAAGAAGCUCCGGCUAAAUACGUGCCAGCAGCCGCGGUAAUACGUAUGGAGCAAGCGUUAUCCGGAUUUACUGGGUGUAAAGGGAGCGUAGACGGCAUAGCAAGCCAGAUGUGAAAUGCGGGGGCUCAACCCCUGAACUGCAUUUGGAACUGUUAAGCUAGAGUAUCGGAGAGGUAAGUGGAAUUCCUAGUGUAGCGGUGAAAUGCGUAGAUAUUAGGAGGAACACCAGUGGCGAAGGCGGCUUACUGGACGAUAACUGACGUUGAGGCUCGAAAGCGUGGGGAGCAAACAGGAUUAGAUACCCUGGUA